UUUAAACCCGACCGAUGUACACAUUCUUGAGUGCCUAC
rnacentral:rRNA from 1 species